GAUGAACGCUGGCGGCGUGCCUAAUACAUGCAAGUCGAGCGAACGGACGAGAAGCUUGCUUCUCUGAUGUUAGCGGCGGACGGGUGAGUAACACGUGGAUAACCUACCUAUAAGACUGGGAUAACUUCGGGAAACCGGAGCUAAUACCGGAUAAUAUUUUGAACCGCAUGGUUCAAAAGUGAAAGACGGUCGUGCUGUCACUAAUAGAUGGAUCCGCGCUGCAUUAGCUAGUUGGUAAGGUAACGGCUUACCAAGGCAACGAUGCAUAGCCGACCUGAGAGGGUGAUCGGCCACACUGGAACUGAGACACGGUCCAGACUCCUACGGGAGGCAGCAGUAGGGACUCUUCCGCAAUGGGCGAAAGCCUGACGGAGCAACGCCGCGUGAGUGAUGAAGGUCUUCGGAUCGUAAAACUCUGUUAUUAGGGAAGAACAUAUGUGUAAGUAACUGUGCACAUCUUGACGGUACCUAAUCAGAAAGCCACGGCUAACUACGUG
rnacentral:rRNA from 1 species